rnacentral:rRNA from 1 species
CAGGAGGAUAGCCCGGGGAAACUCGGAUUAAUACUUCAUAGGAUCUUGUUUGGCAUCAGAUAAGAUUGAAAGAAAUUCGGAUAAGGAUAGGCAUGCGUCAGAUUAGCUAGUUGGUAGUGUAACGGACUACCAAGGCGAUGAUCUGUAGGGGGCCUGAGAGGGUGAUCCCCCACACUGGUACUGAGACACGGACCAGACUCCUACGGGAGGCAGCAGUGAGGAAUAUUGGACAAUGGAGGGAACUCUGAUCCAGCCAUCCCGCGUGCAGGAAGACGGCCUUAUGGGUUGUAAACUGCUUUUGUAUGGGGAUAAAUCUACUUACGUGUAGGUAGUUGAAGGUACCAUACGAAUAAGCAUCGGCUAACUCCGUGCCAGCAGCCGCGGUAAUACGGAGGAUGCAAGCGUUAUCCGGAUUCAUUGGGUUUAAAGGGUCCGUAGGCGGGCUAAUAAGUCAGUGGUGAAAUUUUGUCGCUUAACGAUAAAACUGCCAUUGAUACUGUUAGUCUUGAGUGAUAUUGAAGUAGCUGGAAUGUGUAGUGUAGCGGUGAAAUGCAUAGAUAUUACACAGAACACCGAUUGCGAAGGCAGGUUACUAAGUAUUAACUGACGCUGAAGGACGAAAGCGUGGGGAGCGAACAGGAUUAGAUACCCUGGUAGU